UACGGAGGAUCCAAGCGUUAUCCGGAUUUAUUGGGUUUAAAGGGUGCGUAGGCGGCCAAUUAAGUCGAGGGGUGAAAGACGGUAGCUUAACUAUCGCAGUGCCUUUGAUACUGAUUGGCUUGAAUACACUAGAGGUAGGCGGAAUGUGACAAGUAGCGGUGAAAUGCAUAGAUAUGUCACAGAACACCAAUUGCGAAGGCAGCUUACUAUGGUGUGAUUGACGCUGAGGCACGAAAGCGUGGGGAUCAAACAGG
rnacentral:rRNA from 1 species